GCAAUAAUAGGAUGACAGAGAAAAUGUUGGAGUGAGAGAGAUGACAGAGAAAAUGUUGGAGUGAGAGAGAUGAAAGAUAAAGGGUUGAGAAGAAUGAGGAAGGUGAGUAAGGGUUUGGGGUUCUUUUUUUAGUUUUGAGAAUGAAAAUUAUUUAAAUAUCCUUAACCUUAAAACUUAGAAUCCAUGAUAAAUGAGGGUAUUUUUGUCUACUAUAAUGCGGUACACAUUGUUAAAAUGUAAC
rnacentral:lncRNA from 1 species